UGGGGAAUCUUGCGCAAUGGGCGAAAGCCUGACGCAGCGACGCCGCGUGAGGGAAGAAGGCCUUCGGGUUGUAAACCUCUUUCAGCAGGGACGAAGCUACUCGGGUUAACAGCCCAGAGGGUGACGGUACCUGUAGAAGAAGCCCCGGCUAACUACGUGCCAGCAGCCGCGGUAAUACGUAGGGGGCAAGCGUUGUCCGGAUUUACUGGGCGUAAAGAGCGUGUAGGCGGCCAAGCAGGUCUGUUGUGAAAACUGGAGGCUCAACCUCCAGACGUCGACAGAAACCGCUUGGCUAGAGUCCGGAAGAGGAGAGUGGAAUUCCUGGUGUAGCGGUGAAAUGCGCAGAUAUCAGGAAGAACACCAAUGGCGAAGGCAGCUCUCUGGGACGGUACUGACGCUGAGACGCGAAAGCGUGGGGAGCGAACAGGAUUAGAUACCCUGGUAGUCCACGCCGUAAACGA
rnacentral:rRNA from 1 species